GAUAAAACGCUGGCGGCGUGCUUCAGGCAUGCAAGUCGAACGGGUGUUAGCUUUCGGCUAACACUAGUGGCGGACGGGUGAGUAACACGUAAAGCAAUCUGCCCGGUAGUGGGGAAUAACUAGCCGAAAAGGCUGGCUAAUACCGCAUGUGAUGGCUGGUCUUUGGAUGAGUCAUGAAAAGGCGUAAGUCGCUACCGGAGGAGCUUGCGGCCGAUUAGCUAGUUGGUGAGGUAAUGGCCCACCAAGGCAACGAUCGGUAGCUGGUCUGAGAGGACGGUCAGCCACACGGGGACUGAGAUACGGCCCCGACUCCUACGGGAGGCAGCAGCUAGGAAUCUUGGGAAUGGGCGAAAGCCUGACCCAGCAAACGCCGCGUGGGCGAUG
rnacentral:rRNA from 1 species